rnacentral:rRNA from 1 species
UACGUAGGGGGCAAGCGUUGUUCGGAAUCACUGGGCGUAAAGGGUGCGUAGGCGGCUUUCUAAGUUGGAUGUGAAAACUCUGGGCUCAACCCAGAGACUGCAUCCAAAAACUGGAGUGCUUGGGUUUUUGGAGGGGAGGAGCGGAAUUCCUGGUGUAGCGGUGGAAAAUGCGUAGAUAUCAGGAGGAACACCGGUGGCGAAGGCGGCUCUCUGGACAAAAUACCCGAC